AAUCAACGCUGGCGGCGUGCCUCAGACAUGCAAGUCGAACGAGAAAGUUCCCUUCGGGGAGCGAGUAAAGUGGCGCACGGGUGAGUAACACGUAGGUAAUCUACCUUCGGGUGGGAAUAACCCAGGGAAACUUGGGCUAACACCGCAUAAUGCAGCGGCACCACAUGGUGACAGUUGUUAAAGCGGGGGAUUUAGGACCUCGCGCCUGAAGAGGAGCCUGCGGCGGAUUAGCUUGUUGGAAGGUAACGGCUUACCAAGGCGACGAUCCGUAGCCGGCCUGAGAGGGCGGUCGGCCACACUGACACUGACA
rnacentral:rRNA from 1 species